rnacentral:rRNA from 1 species
GAUGAACGCUGGCGGCGUGCCUAAUACAUGCAAGUCGAGCGAAUGGAUUAAGAGCUUGCUCUUAUGAAGUUAGCGGCGGACGGGUGAGUAACACGUGGGUAACCUGCCCAUAAGACUGGGAUAACUCCGGGAAACCGGGGCUAUACCGGAUAACAUGUUGAACCGCAUGGUUCGAAAUUGAAAGGCGGCUGCGGCUGUCACUUAUGGUUGGACCCGCGUCGCAUUAGCUAGUUGGUGAGGUAACGGCUCACCAAGGCAACGAUGUGUAGCCGACCUGAGAGGGUGAUCGGCCACACUGGGACUGAGACACGGCCCAGACUCCUACGGGAGGCAGCAGUAGGGAAUCUUCCGCAAUGGACGAAAGUCUGACGGAGCAACGCCGCGUGAGUGAUGAAGGCUUUCGGGUCGUAAAACUCUGUUGUUAGGGAAGAACAAGUGCUAGUUGACUAAGCUGGCACCUUGACGGUACCUAACCAGAAAGCCACGGCUAACUACGUGCCAGCCGCCGCCGUAA